UAAAACACUUAGACAACUGGGAGAGUUGUGCCCCGCCCGGGCUGCGCCGCCUUCCCGGGGGCCCUACAGGGAAGAUUCCGGCCCUGCGCACGCGAGCCAGGGCAGCCGUGGGCCACGCGGCGCGUGUGCGUGGCAGCGCGUGAGUGUGGAGCGCGCGUGGCGGGCAUCAGAACUCCAGGGGAAAAGCCAAGCCGACUGAAAGCCAGGGAACAUAGCAGCCAGCACCAGAGAGCACAAGUUCCUCACCAGAGCUCUGCAGCUCAAGAGGAAAAAGGAAAAAGGCCUGAUGGAUUCUGAAUUCCUCCUGCCUUCUUUGAUCUGCAAGACUGAUGCUAUCCUGAGGGCUCUCUCUGGCUCCCGGACCUUGAUCUCCUUCCUGCUGACUAUUUUGC